rnacentral:rRNA from 1 species
GAUGAACGCUGGCGGCGUGCCUAAUACAUGCAAGUCGAGCGAACGGACGAGAAGCUUGCUUCUCUGAUGUUAGCGGCGGACGGGUGAGUAACACGUGGAUAACCUACCUAUAAGACUGGGAUAACUUCGGGAAACCGGAGCUAAUACCGGAUGAUAUUUUGAACCGCAUGGUUCAAAAGUGAAAGACGGUCUUGCUGUCACUUAUAGAUGGAUCCGGGCUGCAUUAGCUAGUUGGUAAGGUAACGGCCUACCAAGGCAACGAUGCAUAGCCGACCUGAGAGGGUGAUCGGCCAAACUGGAACUGGGACACGGUCCAGACUCCUACGGGAGGAGGAGGUAGGGAAUCUUCCGAAAUGGGCGAAGGCCUGACGGGGCAACGCCGCGUGAGGGAUGAAGGUCUUCGGAUCGUAAAACUCUGUUAUUAGGGAAGAACAUAUGUGUAAGUAACUGUGCACAUCUUGACGGUACCUAAUCAGAAAGCCACGGCUAACUACGUG